GACGGAGGGGGCAAGCGUUGUUCGGAAUUAUUGGGCGUAAAGAGCUCGUAGGCGGACUGGAUAGUCUGACGUGAAAUCUCCACUACUCAACAGGGAGAGGCCGUUGGAUACUACCAGCCUGGAGUGCGGCAGAGGGCAGUGGAAUUCCAGGUGUAGCGGUGGAAUGCGUAGAUAUCUGGAAGAACACCGGUGGCGAAGGCGGCUGCCUGGGCCUGCACUGACGCUGAGGAGCGAAAGCCAGGGGAGCGAACGGG
rnacentral:rRNA from 1 species